rnacentral:rRNA from 1 species
AGCGAACGCUGGCGGUAGGCCUAACACAUGCAAGUCGAACGGCAGCACAGUAAGAGCUUGCUCUUACGGGUGGCGAGUGGCGGACGGGUGAGGAAUACAUCGGAAUCUACUUUUUCGUGGGGGAUAACGUAGGGAAACUUACGCUAAUACCGCAUACGACCUACGGGUGAAAGCAGGGGAUCUUCUGACCUUGCGCGAUUGAAUGAGCCGAUGUCGGAUUAGCUAGUUGGCGGGGUAAAGGCCCACCAAGGCGACGAUCCGUAGCUGGUCUGAGAGGGUGAUCAGCCACACUGGAACUGAGACACGGUCCAGACUCCUACGGGAGGCAGCAGUGGGGAAUAUUGGACAAUGGGCGCAAGCCUGAUCCAGCCAUACCGCGUGGGUGAAGAAGGCCUUCGGGUUGUAAAGCCCUUUUGUUGGGAAAGAAAAGCAGCAGGUUAAUACCCCGCUGUUCUGACGGUACCCAAAGAGUAAGCACCGGCUAACUUCGUG